AAUGUCGUAACAAGGUUUCCGUAGGUGAACCUGCGGAAGGAUCAUUAAAGAGAAAGGGGUUCCGGCCCCUGAGGCUUCGGCCUCGACUCUAUACCCUAUGUUUAUAUCACUUCUGUUGCCUUUGGGCGGACCAUGAAUCUCAUUCACGCCGAUAUUUUCGUCGACGAGUGUUCGCCAAAGGCCCUUUAAAACUCUUUAUCUUUGUGUCUGAGUACAAACUAAAACUUUAAAAGG
rnacentral:misc_RNA from 1 species